rnacentral:rRNA from 1 species
UACGUAGGGUGCAAGCGUUAAUCGGAAUUACUGGGCGUAAAGCGUGCGCAGGCGGUUAUAUAAGUCAGCUGUGAAAUCCCCGGGCUCAACCUGGGAACUGCAGUUGAGACUGUAUGGCUAGAGUGUGUCAGAGGGGGGUAGAAUUCCACGUGUAGCAGUGAAAUGCGUAGAUAUGUGGAGGAAUACCGAUGGCGAAGGCAGCCCCCUGGGAUAACACUGACGCUCAUGCACGAAAGCGUGGGGAGCAAACAGG